UGAGGAAUAUUGGUCAAUGGGCGAGAGCCUGAACCAGCCAAGUAGCGUGCAGGAUGACGGCCCUAUGGGUUGUAAACUGCUUUUAUGUGGGGAUAAAGUGCGUGACGUGUCAUGCAUUGCAGGUACCACAUGAAUAAGGACCGGCUAAUUCCGUGCCAGCAGCCGCGGUAAUACGGAAGGUCCGGGCGUUAUCCGGAUUUAUUGGGUUUAAAGGGGGCGUAGGCUGUCUAUUAAGCGUGUUGUGAAAUUUACCGGCUCAACCGGUGGCUUGCAGCGCGAACUGGUCGACUUGAGUAUGCAGGAAGUAGGCGGAAUUCAUGGUGUAGCGGUGAAAUGCUUAGAUAUCAUGACGAACUCCGAUUGCGCAGGCAGCUUACUGUAGCAUAACUGACGCUGAUGCUCGAAAGUGCGGGUAUCAAACAGG
rnacentral:rRNA from 1 species